rnacentral:rRNA from 1 species
AUUGAACGCCGGCGGCAGGCCUAACACAUGCAAGUCGAGCGGCAGCGGAAGGAAGCUUGCUUCCUUGCCGGCGAGCGGCGGACGGGUGAGUAAGGUAUGGGGAUCUGGCCGAAGGCGGGGGAUAACCACUGGAAACGGUGGCUAAUACCGCAUAAUCUCUAAGGAGCAAAGUGGGGGACCGUUCAGGCCUCACACCUUCGGAUGAACCCAAAUGGGAUUAGCUAGUAGGUGGGGUAAUGGCUCACCUAGGCGACGAUCUCUAGCUGGUCUGAGAGGAUGAUCAGCCACACUGGGACUGAGACACGGCCCAGACUCCUACGGGAGGCAGCAGUGGGGAAUAUUGCACAAUGGGCGCAAGCCUGAUGCAGCCAUGCCGCGUGUAUGAAGAAGGCCUUCGGGUUGUAAAGUACUUUCAGUCGUGAGGAAGGUGUUAAGGUUAAUAACCUUAGCAAUUGACGUUAGCGACAGAAGAAGCACCGGCUAACUCCGUGCCAGCCGCCGCCGUAA